rnacentral:rRNA from 1 species
CGCGUAGGCGGCUUGUACAGUCAGACGUGAAAUUCCUGGGCUCAACCUGGGGGCUGCGUUUGAUACGUGCGGGCUUGAGUUCGGAAGAGGGUCGUGGAAUUCCCAGUGUAGAGGUGAAAUUCGUAGAUAUUGGGAAGAACACCGGUGGCGAAGGCGGCGACCUGGUCCGAUACUGACGCUGAGGCGCGAAAGCGUGGGGAGCAAACAG